AAUAGCCUAACGGCUGAACCAGCAAUUUGGAAGAAUGUAUAGCAAUAGCUAGUUGCAUAAUGUUAUGCAAUAUUAAUUUAAUUGAAUAAAGUUCUGAGUAAAUUUAGAUAAUGACUUAAUUUACUUACGUGUCUUGACCAAAAUACGUGCCAGCAGUCGCGGUAAGACGUUAAAGACUAGUGUUAUUCAUCUUUAGCAGGUUUAAAGGGUACUUAGACGGUAGAUCAAGCCACAGUAGGAACUAAUCUACUAGAGUUACUUGUGAGGGGGCUAAAAAGUACUAAUGGAGUAGAGAUAAAAUGCUAGAAUACCUUUUUUCGAAAGAAUUAUAAUGGCACUGGUAAAGGCGAAAGCAUCCCCUUAUGUGAUAACUGACGUUAAAGGACGAAGGCUUUGGAUCGCGAAUAGGAUUAGAUACCCUAGUAGUCGAAGGAGAGAAUGAUGAGUGCCAUAGAUUGGAAUAAAUUUAGUCUAUAAAUGAAAGUGCAAGCACUCCACCUUAAGAGUAAUGUGGCAACACCGAAAUUGAAAUCAUUAGACCGUUUUUGAANNNNNNNNNNNNNNNNNNNNNNUAAUUUGAUGAUCCGCAAAAAACCUUACCACAACUUGAAUAUUUACAAGCGUUGCACGGCUGUCUUAAGUUAAUGUCGUGAGAAUUUGGUUAGCUCCAUUAAAUUGACGUAAACCCUCGUUUUACUUUAAUGUAAAACGGUUCACCACUAUAUUGGAUAGGAUAAUAGGGAAGAAGACAAGUCAUCAUGGCCUGAAUGUUGU
rnacentral:rRNA from 1 species